CAUUAAGGCAGACAUUUUAUUCAAAACUAUUUAAGAAGACAUAAUAUUUUUUCAAAAUUUAUUAAAAGGAAAAUUCUGUUUUUCUCAAGAAGGCAGCCUCUACAUGACAGGGUUUUCACUGGAUGCAAACCCUCCUCAAAAACCUAUGCCUAAGCCCCUAGAAAAAUUCUCGCCGCCUUCUGUGGCUAUCUUCUCCUAUUUUUAAUUACACCCUUCCUUUUAUACAGAUCUACUACCAACUAUCAAAAUAUUGUGGAUAUAAAAAGAGUUAUAAUUUAGAUCAUGAAUCCAUUUAAUAACCCCUUCAUAUAAAAGAUAUUUAUUUUCUAAUCUCUUAGGAAUACCUUAAAUAAAAUCCGGUCUUUCAACAUAAACACUCUCAAUUUUAAAUCUGAAUACAGGGAAAACAAUUGUACAAUUCUAAACAAUAUUUUUGUGCAUUGUCUCUGACAUAGCUGGUUAUCAUGGCGAUAAUGCCCUAAACACACUCGCGAUAAGAAUGAAAUAUUUCACUUCGAUACUCCUACUCCUUGUGGUGGUUUUGGCGGCCGCGGUGCUGCAACCUCCAGUGCUUGUACUUGGUUGGGGAGCUUUGAAGCCUGCUAAUGAGCAAUAAUUCCUGCUGAUUGAAGAUUUGUUCAUUCUUAUAUAUAAUAUAAUGAUAAAAAUUUUGUGAUUAAUUUAUCAUAUAAUAAUCAAUAAAUUUAUCAAACUUUUUUAAUAAAAAAAAAGAAGUAGA